UACGUAGGGUGCAAGCGUUAAUCGGAAUUACUGGGCGUAAAGCGUGCGCAGGCGGUUGUGCAAGACAGAUGUGAAAUCCCCGGGCUUAACCUGGGAACUGCAUUUGUGACUGCACGACUAGAAUCUGGCAGAGGGGGGUAGAAUUCCAUGUGUAGCAGUGAAAUGCGUAGAUAUGUGGAGGAAUACCGAUGGCGAAGGCAGCCCCCUGGGCUAAGAUUGACGCCCAUGCACGAAAGCGUGGGGAGCAAACAGG
rnacentral:rRNA from 1 species